UACGUAGGGUGCGAGCGUUAAUCGGAAUUACUGGGCGUAAAGCGUGCGCAGGCGGUUUUGUAAGUCAGACGUGAAAUCCCCCGGCUUAACCUGGGAACUGCGUCUGAUACUGGAAGGCUUGAGGAUGGGGAGAGGGAUGUAGAAUUCCAGGUGUAGCGGUGAAAUGCGUAGAGAUGGUGGAGGAACACCAGUGGCGAAGGCGGCUUUUUGGUCUGUAACUGACGCUGAGGCGCGAAAGCGUGGGGAGCAAACAGG
rnacentral:rRNA from 1 species